AGGAGACUUCAUGCUUGUUUUCGCGCUGGUCAAGACAUUCGAUUCUUUGUUCUCUGCCGAUGAAGGUUUCUGUAGCUUGAAGCAGGCUUCCUUCUCAGUUAAUGGCGUUAAUGAUGGGUGGAGAUUCAGGGAUAUCUGAUUGAAUGAGAUUUAGAAUGCAGAUUUGUGAUAUGGUUGCAGAACAUCUGUGGAGAAGAAUUACAAAGAAUUCAUAUACAGAAGGUGAGGAAAGAUCUCUUGGUGUAUACUUUCUUUUAGUUAUCUUACCUUCUAUCGGUUGGUUGCAGAACUUGGAAGCAAGGUACGGUAGUCAAAUUGGUUAGAGGAAUUCAUUUGCACUUUCAUAUAAUUAAAUGACUCUAACUUGUCAAAUUGUCUCCGUAAUUGUUUGCUCUUGUUGAUUGCGGUCUCUUGUCAUACUAGUAUCAAUGUCAUACACAGCAACCUCAGAUUACAGAACUAGAUAUACCAUUUUGACACUUCAGAUUAGUGUGUUAUUUAUUUUACUAUAUAUCAGCUAGCUGUGUACUCGAUCUUAUUUGGGAUUGACUAUUAUUGGGUAGGCAGGUGAGCUCAUGAAAUUUGAGUACCAAAAGAAGGUCGCCUUGCUGAGCAAGCUAAAGAAAUGUAGUACUAACUCAGAAGCAUUGGAGAAAUCAAGAGUAGCAGUGAGUCAUCUGCAUAUAAGAUACAUAGUUGACAUGCAAUCCAUGGACCCAACAGUAUCAAAGAUAAACUCUUUACUUUCAGCUUGUUACAGGGUGAGUUUGCAGUGUACUCAUAUUUGACAUUCU